rnacentral:rRNA from 1 species
CCUACGGGAGGCACCAGUAGGGAAUCUUCGGCAAUGGACCAAAGUCUGACCGAGCAACGCCGCGUGAGUGAAGAAGGUUUUCGGAUCGUAAAACUCUGUUGUUAGAGAAGAACAAGUAGGAGAGUAACUGCUCUUACCUUGACGGUAUCUAACCAGAAAGCCGCGGCUAACUACGUGCCAGCAGCCGCGGUAAUACGUAGGUGGCAAGCGUUGUCCGGAUUUAUUGGGCGUAAAGCGAGCGCAGGCGGUCUUUUAAGUCUGAUGUGAAAGCCCUCGACUCAACCGAGGAAGGUCAUUGGAAACUGGAGGACUUGAGUGCAGAAGAGGAGAGUGGAAUUCCAUGUGUAGCGGUGAAGUGCGUAGAUAUAUGGAGGAACACCAGUGGCGAAGGCGACUCUCUGGUCUGUAACUGACGCUGAGGCUCGAAAGCGUGGGGAGCAAACAGGAUUAGAUACCCCAGUAGUC